UACGAAGGGGGGCUAGCGUUGCUCGGAAUCACUGGGCGUAAAGGGUGCGUAGGCGGGUCUUUUAAGUCAGGGGUGAAAUCCUGGAGCUCAACUCCAGAACUGCCUUUGAUACUGAGGAUCUUGAGUUCGGGAGAGGUGAGUGGAACUGCGAGUGUAGAGGUGAAAUUCGUAGAUAUUCGCAAGAACACCAGUGGCGAAGGCGCUCACUGGCCCGAUACUGACGCUGAGGCACGAAAGCGUGGGGAGCAAACAGG
rnacentral:rRNA from 1 species